rnacentral:tmRNA from 1 species
GGGGGUGAUCGGUUUCGACCGUUGGGUUGUACGGUGGGGAAGCGUGUCGAGGAUGUCAGUGACCUCGUAAAUCGUCUGGCAAAAACACAAAUGCUGAUAACAACAGCUACGCUCUCGCAGCCUAAAUAGUGCUCCGAGCGUGCUGCGCACAGUGCCUGAGGGUGCGCAGAGCGAAAUUCUAUCAGGCUGGUGCGAAGGCUGUGUCUCAGGGCCAAGCACGAGAAAAUGCUGAGGCUCGCCGAUCCGGAGCGCGUUCGCACGCGCCGGUGAAGCUAACUUCAAACAGCGAACUACACACGUAGAUGCCUUAUCGAUCUGCUUAGCGGCACGCGGGUUCGAUUCCCGCCACCUCCACCA